CUGAGGCUUCAUCAUCUUCAGCAGCAGCAGCUGCGUUCUCUACCGUUCUCUGCGUGCUCUGCGUUCGACUGCCGCUUCCAGUGGAGCUGCCCUUGAGUCCCAGGCUUGCGACCAAGGACUGACUCAAAACACUUCGGAGAUCAGCAUGGUGGACGCGCUUUCCUUGACAUCAGUCCCGGACGGCGGCGUCAACGUUCGAGCGAUGUCCGCUAAAGAGCUAUACAUCACCCUGGCCGUCUGCGCCUUCUUCGCCACCGUCUUGGUCAUCUUGUGGUUGCACGUGGAUUCCAUGAAUGUGACGGCCGCCAGUGGCCUCCCGCAGAUUCCAAACUCUCCGCAUGGUGUUCACCGAGGUCAGCGACACGCACGCCAGACCCACGGUACCUCAUCAGGCAGCCUCACGCAAAGACCCAAGCUGUCUCGAUGACUGUGUGCGGAUGGUAGUACUGUUAUUUUCUUUUUUUUUGCGGAUGGACAACAGUGUCCGCUGCUCCACAGUUUAGUUUCUUGUUGUUUUUUUUUUGUUCGCAAAUGGUCUUUUUACUACCUAGCAGUGAUGCAACGCAAAUGAGCCCAUCGACGACUGUUCAAAAGCACUGUUCUUGACUCUAGUGGGAAAAAAGAAAGAAGAUAAAGCACAUCGCUGCGUACUUGA